rnacentral:lncRNA from 1 species
UGCUCCAUAUAAGUACAUAAAUUAUAAAAUAAUAAAUAUUAUUUGACAGAUUCAUCAUAAGGAAUAUAUCUUCUAAAAUAGAACUCAUAUGUUAUGAUGAAGUCUUUAGAACUACUUUCAAAAUGAUAAAGGAGGAUUUAUCAUGUUGUUCUUAAAUCAUGCUCACGAUCAAAUGAUAUAAUUGUUACAAGGAUGAUAACCGUAUCGAGUGUAGGUC